rnacentral:lncRNA from 1 species
AGCCGACUGAGGAGCGCUAAGAAUGGCUCGGCCAGUGUACUCAGUGUAGCGCUGGGCUGCUCGUGCGUGAGAUGUUCAAAAUGUGGAUCUCCUGAGGGCGUGAGAAACCUCUCUGACCGCUGGGGUGGCGGUUACGGGAGCCGUCGGAGCUGCUUGGGACUUGACACUUCUAGUGCAUAAAUCCUUCUGUGACUGGAUUUAUACGUUUUCACCGACUUUCGCUUUCUUUGACGAUUUUAAUUCUGGCUGGAGGUCCUGAUAAUUCUGAGGAUGGACACAAAACGCGGAUGUAUAUAUAAUAAUAUAUAUUCUUCAGUCGCGGAGCUGCUGUGUUGUUCGCAGUACCUUUUUUUUUCAUUCGGAUUUCUACAUGAUGAUUUGGGGUUAGUAAAAACAUUUUGUCAGUGCGGAUCAUCAUCGUUUUGGUAACUGCUCGCUCGUCUGAAUGGGGCUACGACGUGGAUGAUCCGAUCGCUCAGCUCAUUGAUUGUAAGACUGAGUCCACGCUCGUGGAGGACUGCUGUCCCACAGACUGUCACAAGUGGAAAUAAUACGGGAGGAUGUACCCGGCACUGAAACAGGACGGACCCCCCAGUGUCCCGCACGCUGCCAGUGCCAGUGCCGCCGUUAGCGCUCCAUCCAUGGAUACAUUCAAUAGACGGAAUCUCUGCGUAUCUCUGCGUAACUGUCCCGGACCCCCCAUGGUUUGGAUUAUACGUGACUCUGGGAUUCAUUACCUGCUUUUACUCGAUAAUGGAAUAUGAAACGCACCAUUACUGCGGAUUACUCCCGAGACACAAACCCCACGGUUUGACAGGGAACAGUUCACGUAAGGAACACUCCUGUGAUUUUAAGAGGAUUAAUUUACACUACCCUACGCUUCAUUUUACACCCGCUGUAUUCACGCUGCAGCGGGAAUCAAAGUGGGGCUUGUCCGCAGUCUGCCAGCAUCUCGGAAGAAGGCGGCUCUGUGUUACCCGUGGAGGUUGAGGGCGGGCCGCGAUUCCCGGGAAAAGGACGUGAGGUCCGAGCCCGCGCUGCCAACAGGGCCCUCCGCAUCCUUCAGACUGUUAGCCCCACCACCCAGCUGAGGUUGCAGCUCUACCUUACGCUGCCAACUGCUAGCAACCCAGAAUUUGAGGAUUAGUUUCAACCAUUCCUCUGUUUUCACUGUUUAUUUUUUACAUUUUAUGCCUUUAUCUCCUUAUGAAGCACGGGAACAUAACCUUUCUUAGGCUGCUGCUAUCAAGAUCACACACCCACCAUCUGAAACCACUUGUCUCAUGCAGGGUUGUGGGGAUCCAGAGCCUAACCCAGCGACACAGGGCAUAAGGCUGUGGGGGGAGGGGACACACCCAGGACAGGAUGGCAGUCCUGCACAAGGUACCCAAAGCAGGACUCAAACCCCAGACCCAGGAGAGAGCAGGACCCACUUAAUCCCACUUUGCCACCAAACCCCCCAUGCUACCAAUCUCAGUUCCUCACAAAUCAUUUGUAUGUAGAGUUCGUCAUAGCGAACCACCUUCUCCUUGUUUAAUUCGCUAUGUUUUUGGUACGUCAGUAUUUUUGUUAAGUGCUGGUACUUUGUCCUGAGUCCAGAACAUGUAAUACUUCAAUUGAGCAUUCUGGAGGAAACAUACCGAUGUCAGUUGUAAAGUGAAUUUACUAAAAAUGUGACCCCACAGUGGGCUGCUCAAGCAUGUGUAAGGGAGAUGUCACAUUUCUUUGUUUGGCAGAUGCUUCCCCCCCCAAAGCACCUUCUGAUGAACACUAUAUAGUGUUAUCACUCUACACACCUAAUUCACCAAGGUGACUUACACUGCUAGAUACACUACUUACACUGGGUCACUCAUCCAUACAUCCAGGGGACACACUCUCAAUGUCACUCACACUCUAUGGGGGAACAUGAACAGCAUAUCUUUGGAGUGUGGGAGGAAACCAGAGCACCCAGAAAACAUGCAAACUCCACACAGAUGGAGGGGUGGGAUCA